rnacentral:rRNA from 1 species
UAGCGGUAAGAAGUACUGAUGUUGGUUAUUACAUCUUUAAUAGGUUUAAAGGGGUACCUAGACGGUAUAAUUAAGUCUAAAAUAAGAUACGGUUAUACUAGAGUUAUAUAUGAGGAGGUGAGUAUUUAUGGAGUAGAGUUGAAAUUUGUUGAUCCCAUAACGACUGGUAUGGCGAAAGCAACCUUUUAUCUAAUAACUGACGUUGAGGGACGAAGCUCGGGUAACGAACAGG